GCCCUCUAGCAUUGAUCGCCCCUCAGUUGGACUUGAAUCUUUUUGGCGGCGGGGGCGGCACAGAUUCCUUUCCCUUCGACGAGUCCGGCUCGCCUAUUUCGAUUAAAGGGUCGCCUUCCCGCGUACGUUUCUCGCGGAUAACCACUCCUUUGGUGGGAGGCUUGGCUGUCGUCUUCGUUGCCUUCUCGGCCUUGGCUUUACCUCUAGCCGACAUAGCUGCACAUAGGAUAUGUCAGAUAAGGAAAGAAAUAGUAAACAGUUGGUUUCUAGAAUAUACCAUCAGAUCUGAGCUCGGGGGACAACUCGGAAUCCGAAAUGGAAACCGAGCCUGAAUCCGAACUGGAGCCGGACGUCCCAGAUAGGAGAUUCGUAAACGGGUCCUUUACCUUCCCCCCGAGCCACCUUAGAAGGGUUUCAUCGGGGAUACCAGGAUGGGCUCUCCUAAUCGCCCCUCCGAUAUCCCGUCUGAUGACUCCCAGGUAUUCAACCGAGUCUUCGCGAGUAACGAACUCACCCUCGUCACCCUAGGUCGCGUUGUCUCCGCCACUGGUGGAAAGCGCCGAGCAACCAACCGCAAAAUGUUUGUUGAAGGUUCGCGAACCCAGGACCUUUGAAACUUCAAAGUAGCCUCCGGGCUCUAUCUUCCCAAAGAUCGCCUCCGUCCUCUUGGCGUCAACCUCGGACAGAGUCGGCAAUUUAUUGCAGCUUUUCCCUGAAAAUCGCAUGUCAGACGACCAUAAGGGCUUAAAAAAAAAAAUAGGAACUAACCUGGCGUUCCCCAAGAUCUGGGAACCCGCGGAGUACUGUCGCUGGUGGUCGUGCCCGAAGGGAAUUCCCAUUCGUCCCCCGAGGCAAAAAAGAACCUCGUCUUCCACCCCUUCACGUUGCUCGGAGAUCCUCGGAGCAGAUUCUUCUCAGGCCUUGCCUUGAAGUAGUACCAUCCCGAGUCAGGUAAGGGGCUGAGGGAGUACAAGCACCUGAAUUCGUCACAGGACAUGUGACGUUUAAAGUGGCGCCAGAUCACCAGCGAGCAUAUGAAUGAUCGCCACGCGUUGGGGGAUAACUGUGCAGGGCAAAUCUUGUAGUGAAUCAAAAUUUCCCUGAUGGUCGGGUGAAAGGGAAGCCUCAAACCGGCCAGAAAAGCGGCUUCGUAAAACGCCACUUCGCCUUGGCAGGCUGAUAGAAUCGUCUCGUCAUCCCCGGGGAUCCGAAGUCGUACCCCUGAGGGAAAUGAAUAGGUAGAUCCGAGCUUGUCCAGUUCAGCCUGGGACAUGACGUUCCCCUCCUUAGUAAGACUCGAGGUAUCCAUCCUUGGGGAAUUUGGUGGUAUUGGUGGAAAUGGAGACUGGCUCGUUUCGUCGAUAUAGGACUUCGCCCCAAGAUGAUCGGAUAUCCAAGACGGCAGGGAUUGCUCAGAUUCUUCGCCUCCGAGGUUGGUCUUGGAGAACAUAAACGGGACAGUCGACCUGGUUACGGCGAGGUGCAGUUCGGACACGGAGCAGCACUUCGACAACAAUGGAAAUGUGCGAAUGAAUAGGUUAAACCCCAUUUAUAUACAUACAUGGGAGGGCUGUGAUCGAUCGGGCCCAACGGCCCAGAUCACGCGACGUUCUGAUUUCCGAGAAGUAAAAACCGCCGUUCCCGCCAUUAAACCAUUUUCCCGCCGACUCAACCUAUUCUGCAUUUAAUUUCCCCUCCACGUGGCUCCUGGAGCGAGUCCGUUGUGAUUGACGCUCCAUUUGGCCAGACCAUCAUUGCACAAACACGUCAGCAUUGGUCAUGCGAACAAGCUGUGAUUCUUUGUGAUUAGGAACCGUCUAUGAUUAGAUGCCCACGUCGCCUAUCGCGCAUUAAACCGUACAAAUCUCACAUCGCCUUAAUGCGCUAAAGCUACUUGCUCGCCCAAGAGUUUUGCCUAUUACAAGCAAAUCAAGCCAUGUCGCCCAAACCUAGAUCGCCAGUUCCUUAUAGAGCGACUCGAAGAAUCUUGAUCACCACUACCGACGUCGCCAUUAAUGAGAGCGCCCAUUCAUUACAAAGAAUCUUCAUAGCCAGUCGACGGUCUCGCCGUAUAUACCUCGUCGCCCAGGAGCUUAUAUCGGUUAGGGCGCGGAAAGUUUUGACCGCCACUUUCCACCAUGAAUAUUGCAAACAAGAUGAACGCAUGCAUGCCGAGGUAAUUAAGAAAGGAAAAACGACAAGAGUUGAAAAACGAAUCAGCUUUUAUUUAUCCACUGAAGACCACGGAUACAAUAAAAUAAAAAAAAAUAAAAGUACAAAAGGGGGAAUCCUUAAACAACCUCGCCAACCCCCUCUACCCCGGCUGCCCCUUCUUCGGCCGCUCUCUUCUCGGCUUCGGCCUCCUCUUUGGAGAGGAGUUCGUGGUCCAUCUCGACGUCCUCCAGGUCGACGCCGAGGUCAGGAUAUUGGUGCGCGAGCUGCCUCUUGCAGAAGUCGAAGCCAUCGCCAAAAUAAGAGGAUGCCGAUCCCCUCACAGCUU
rnacentral:lncRNA from 1 species